UGUCAAGUGAAAUCCCAUGAAUUAUUGCUCUUCCAGAUGUGAGAGAUUUCCAGGCUGCCUUAAACUGCUUGUGGUUUGUGGUAGUGGAGAGAGGAGAAAGGAGAUUAAACUUCAUCUCAUCAGCGCAAUCUGAAAAGAUCACACAGAGGACUAAUAAUCACAGCUUUCUCCUUCCAAAGCCAGACUGGAGAGGCGUUCCUGUUUUUGUUUCAGGGAACUGCAAGACACUUCUCUGGGUGGACAUGGUUUCAAAUUGCAGUUUACUACACCGCUGAAAAAUGCCAUCUAUGCGAUAUGCAGAGAGAUAAAUCUUGAAGGUAAAUUUCAUCAAUGAAUGUCACUGAGGUGGGUUUUCUUGUUUAUAAAUGUUAUCUGGCCUCCAUAAAUACUUUCAGAGGUUGCUCUUUCGAAGUAGUUUUGAAACUAGUUACCGGAGAGACUUGAAAAUGAUCAAAUGAAG
rnacentral:lncRNA from 11 species